rnacentral:rRNA from 1 species
GCUGGCGGCACGCCUAAUACAUGCAAGUCGAACGAAGUAGCAAUACUUAGUGGCAGACGGGUGAGUAACAUGUGGGUAUCUUCCCUUUGGUGAGGAAUAACACGAGGAAACUUGUGCUAAUACCUCAUAAGUCUUUACGGAGAAAGCUUUAUGCGCCAAUGGAUGAGCCCGCACUUGAUUAGUUUGUUGGUGGGGUAAUGGCCUACCAAGACUUAGAUCAAUAGCUGAUUUGAGAGGAUGAUCAGCCACAUUGGGACUGAGACACGGCCCAAACUCCUACGGGAGGCAGCAGUAGGGAAUCUUGCACAAUGGAGGAAACUCUGAUGCAGCGAUGCCGCGUGAGUGAAGAAGGCCCUUGGGUUGUAAAGCUCUUUCGUCGGGGAAGAAAAUGACUGUACCCGAAUAAGAAGGUCCGGCUAACUUCGUGCCAGCAGCCGCGGUAAUACGAAGGGACCUAGCGUAGUUCGGAAUUACUGGGCUUAAAGAGUUCGUAGGUGGUUAAAAUAGUUGGUGGUGAAAUCCCAGAGCUUAACUCUGGAACUGCCAUCAAAACUUUUUAGCUAGAGUAUGAUAGAGGAAAGCAGAAUUUCUAGUGUAGAGGUGAAAUUCGUAGAUAUUAGAAAGAAUACCAAUUGCGAAGGCAGCUUUCUGGAUCAUUACUGACACUGAGGAACGAAAGCAUGGGUAGCGAAGAGGAUUAGAUACCCUCGUAGUCCAUGCCGUAAACGAUGUGUGUUAGACGUUGGAAAUUUAUUUUUCAGUGUCGCAGCAAAAGCGAUAAACACACCGCCUGGGG